UGUUGUUUUUGUAAUUUUAGCCUUUGUGCUUUAUUAUUAUUAUUAUUAUUAUUUAUGACGUCUAUAUAAUUGCAUUAAUUUUGAAUUCUCUUUUAGUUGUGGUUUGUGAUCAUAACUCUGAAAGCUUCUCCGUAUGGAUCACAUUAUGUUCGUCUUACGAUCAUAAAUCCUGCUUUAAUUGCCGUAAAGUAAAGAUGCGCUGCGUAAGAACACGACUACGUUCAGCAUUAAAACACGUGGCUUUCAAUUAGUCUUCAGCAGAACCGAACAGACUUCAUCGGGCUUUGGGCCGGAGCUCAGCUCUGGAAAAAUAAAGUUGAGUUGAUUAUAAGCUGGAUCCUCGUCAAGACUCGACCAAAACCAGACGUUCAUCUCUCAUAAUAAAGGAGGUUGAUUUAUAAUCACGAGCGAAGCUGGUUAAGAUAAAUAACGCUCGUCGUCACGAUGAAUUUAUUUCAUGAGAGAGAAUUUGCAACGAAGGAUGUUAUAAACACAAACACCGAGGAAACGCAGCAUUAGAAAGCUUUAAAUGCUGGACGUUUCUAAGCGGCGGGAGGCUUUUAAGAGCGCCGUGAAAGCUGAGACGAUUACGAGGCUGUUCUUGGGUUUCUCAGCUCUAUAAACACUGUUUUAGCUCUCAGAUGAAGGACGCCGGCCAGCUCUGAUUAAUAUCAGCCGAACGCUUUACAGAGAGCCAUUAGCCAAACCAUUCCCAGCUGCGGGACACUCCGAGCUUCAAGAGCACUUUCUGCAGGACUUCAUGAAGCACGUUACUGUCUCUAGACGCAGAGGAACUCAUUCAAGAAGAAACAGCAGAACGGGACGAAGACCAACAAGAUCUUUAUGAAGGAUCUGCUUUAACGGUUCUUUAAUGGUCUUGUUUUUAAGGCACGAGCCUGUCAAAAUAAAAUUUUUAAAUCAGUUACAUUUUAUGCUGUUAAAAAGUAUCGAGUGAUGCAUAGCUAUUAAAAACAGCAUUUGGACAAUUAUUUGGUUAUUUAAUGCAGUUUUAUUGAGCUUUUGAUAACUGAGACACUUUAAGCUUGCUUUAUAUGAAAAAGUGAACAUUAUUAUAUGACCAAUGCACAUAUAUAUAUAUAUAGAUAGAUAGAUAGAUAGAUAGAUAGAUAGAUAGAUACACAAAUACUGUGCUAGAUAUUUAGUUAUUUUAUUGUAAUUUUCUUGAGCUUAUAUUAAUUGAGAGACUUGAUUUGUCUUUGUCCUGUAUAUUGCCUAAAUAUAUAUUGAAGUGAGAAAUAUAGCAUAAUAUUGUAUGAUGAAUAUCUAAUAAAAUACCCCAUCUAAAAUA